rnacentral:rRNA from 1 species
GAGUACGGCCGCAAGGCUGAAACUUAAAGGAAUUGGCGGGGGAGCACUACAACGGGUGGAGCCUGCGGUUUAAUUGGACUCAACGCCGGAAAACUCACCGGGGGCGACAGCAAUAUGUAGGUCAGGUUAAAGGUCUUACCUGAAUCGCUGAGAGGAGGUGCAUGGCCGUCAUCAGUUCGUACUGUGAAGCAUCCUGUUAAGUCAGGCAACGAGCAAGACCCGUGCCCACUGUUACCAGCAUAUCCUUUAUGGAUGAUGGGGACUCUGUGGGGACCGCUGCUGCUAAAGCAGAGGAAGGUGCGGGCUACGGUAGGUCAGUAUGCCCCGAAUCUCCCGGGCUACACGCGGGCUACAAUGGUUGGGACAAUGGGUAUCUACUCCGAAAGGAGUUGGCAAUCUCUUAAACCCAAUCGUAGUUCGAAUUGAGGGCUGUAACUCGCCCUCAUGAAGCUGGAAUCCGUAGUAAUCGCGUUUCAACAUAGCGCGGUGAAUCUGUCCCUGCUCCUUGCACACACCGCCCGUCAAACCAUCCGAGUGAGGUAUGGGUGAGGGCACGAACUUAGUGUCGUGCUCGAACCUAAAUUUCGCAAGGAGGGUUAAGUCGUAACAAGGUAGCCGUAGGGGAAUCUGCGGCUGGAUCACCUCCU